GAUGAUCAUCUGCUUGGCCAUUUGUGAGUUCUUUCUCACUAUUAAUUAAUUUCUCUUUCCCAUAUGAUUUUUUAUUUAUAGAAAUUGAAACUCUCAUAAUUUUUGCAGGUGCACCAUUAUUCUCAAGGGUACCAGCAGGAGCUGAAGCAGCCAAGCCCGUCAAAAGAUGUAACAGUAAUGACGACUGCAAGUUAUUUCCAUGCACCUCAAGCUUUGGUCUUUGCGUUAACCAAUUGUGCACAUGCCAAGUCGCAGAUAUUA
rnacentral:lncRNA from 1 species